rnacentral:rRNA from 1 species
AACGAACGCUGGCGGCAUGCCUAACACAUGCCAGUCGAACGAGACCUUCGGGUCUAGUGGCGCACGGGUGCGUAACGCGUGGGAACCUGCCCUUAGGUUCGGAAUAACUCCCCGAAAGGGGUGCUAAUACCGGAUAAUGUCUUCGGACCAAAGAUUUAUCGACUUUGGAUGGGCCCGCGUUGGAUUAGCUAGUUGGUAGGGUAAAAGCCUACCAAGGCGACGAUCCAUAGCUGGUCUGAGAGGAUGAUCAGCCACACUGGGACUGAGACACGGCCCAGACUCCUACGGGAGGCAGCAGUGGGGAAUAUUGGACAAUGGGCGAAAGCCUGAUCCAGCAAUGCCGCGUGAGUGAUGAAGGCCUUAGGGUUGUAAAGCUCUUUUACCCGGAAUGAUAAUGACAGUACCGGGAGAAUAAGCUCCGGCUAACUCCGUG